CAAAGUGAUCCCCAGACAGGCAGCAAUAAGCCUCCCACCCACCAUGAAAAAAUUGUUGCCUAAGCUGGACACCUUUCUGAUUCAAGCAACCCUCCUGCCUCACCAUCCCGAGUAGCUGGGACUACAGGUGCACAUCACUUCAUCAGCUAAAUGGUGGCUUCAGCUGGAGGUGGGGAGCAGCUGCCUCCCUCAGACGGCGUGUGCACCUUCCAACUCACCACUGGUCCCAUCACUCUGGAUUAGAAUUGAGCAGAAGAAAAUGGAAGAGAGCAGCAAAGUCUCUCUAACUUUUCUGAUGACUAUAUUUCCUACUUUGAAGGUCCAUGUGAUUGAGAAAAUUCUGUGAACUUUGUAUGUUCAGGCUGCCCUACAUGACUGGUUUCUUCUCAAAGUAAGCGUCCUCUGACUAACCAAAUUAGGUAAUUUUACAAUUCUUUAAGGUUUUGCUAAAGGCUUGUGGGCAAGACUUCCAUUUGUUGCCAUUACAUCAUGUAAUAAAGGGGCAUGUGAAGGAUGUUGGCAAUUACGUUAGAUCUGGCCCUUUCCCUCCUUUUCCACUGCCAACAUAACCCUGCUCCAAGUUCUCCCUGCCACCCACUUGGAUUACCAUCCUCAUCUCUAAGCCAGGUUUCUGAUACCAGCCUCUUCUUGCUGCAAUCCACAUGGUCAGAUGAAUCUUCUGGGAAGAGACGCUUUCAUAAGCCAAUUUUGACAGUUAUAUGAGAAAUCUUCCUUUCCACUCAUGCCAGUCUUUUGAACCCACCUGGAUGAUGAUGUACCGAUCGCCUGUUUGUACCUUUUGAUGCUUCCUUGCCACAUCCUAAAGGUGCCCUUUUGGGAUUCAGGAAGGAAAAAGAUUUGCAGAAGCAAUAUGGCCAGUAAAAGAAACAAACAAAGGCAGAAGCAUUCCCGUUAUUCUCAGCUGCCUAAGUUUCCCACGCCCCUCACUGUCCUCUUUCUUUUGUGUCUUCCUUUCGGUGGUUGUUCCUCUUACUUCAUACAUGUAAAAGUGUAAAUUCAAAGAUGAAAGAGGAUUCUUAAACAAA